rnacentral:rRNA from 1 species
UACGGAGGGUGCAAGCGUUAAUCGGAAUUACUGGGCGUAAAGCGCACGCAGGCGGUUUGAUAAGUUAGAUGUGAAAGCCCCCGGCUCAACCGUGGAAUUGCAUUUAAAACUGUUCAGCUAGAGUCAUGUAGAGGGGGGUGGAAUUCCAGGUGUAGCGGUGAAAUGCGUAGAGAUCAGGAGGAAUACCAGUGGCGAAGGCGGCCCCCUGGACAAAGACUGACGCUCAGGUGCGAAAGCGUGGGGAGCAAACAGG